rnacentral:rRNA from 1 species
UGUGGCUAACUUGUUUUUUUAAAGUGAAGUUUGAUGAGGUAAGAAAAAUAAUUUUUAUGGUUGUUUGUUAGUAAUUUUUAUUGAAAAUUAGUUAAGAACUAAAGAGAAAAGUACCGUGGGGGAAAGUUUUAAAUAUUAAGUAAAGUAAAAAUGAAAUUUUGUGCCUUGUGUAUCAGAAAAGAUUUAUAUAAUUUAGUUAUAUUAAAGAUCUCGAAAUAAAAUAUAGUGAUUUUUGUAAUAUUUUCUUUUUGGAAAAAAAGAAUUGAAUGCGAAAUUAAAAGUGAAACGCUAGUUGAGUUUUAUGAUAUCUAGUUUUUUUAAAAAUAAAUUUAAUUUGGUUUUUAUAGAGAAAAAGUGUAAAAGCUUAUGGUAGAGGGGAUUAGCUCUUUAUGGAAAAUGAUGAAAAACAGUUAGGUAAGUGGUAAUUUAUAAAUUAGGCUUAGAAGUAGCCAUAUUAAAAAAGUGUUUUAACUAAGUUAUUAUUUUUUUAAUAUUUAAGAUAACUUUUUUGUGGUAUAAAGGAAUUGGUUUAAGUGGGAAAAACUUAAAUAUAAUGAUUUUAUUAGUAAAAUUUAUUUAAAAAAGAAGUAUUUAAAUGUCAUAGAUUGUUUAAAAAAGUUAUAUUAAUAAAAAGGAACUCGGCAAAAAUUUUCUUUGCCUGUUUAUCAAAAACAUGUCUUUUUGGAGUUAAAAAAAGUCAAGCCUGCCCGCUGAUGAGUAUUUUAAGGGCCGCGGUAUUUUGACCGUGCGAAGGUAGCGUAGUCACUAGGUUUUUAAUUGGAAUCUUGUAUGAAUGGUUAGACAAGGGAAAAUCUGUCUCUUUAUUAAAUAUUGAAUUUAACUUUUAAGUGAAAAGGCUUAAAUAAAUUUAAGGGACGAUAAGACCCUAUAAAGCUUAAUAUAAAAUAUCAUUUAACUAAAUUUGAGUAUAAAAGUUUUAUGGUAUAAUUUAUUUUAUUGGGGUGAUAAAGGUAAAAUGAUUGUUAACUGCUUUUAUGAAGAAACAUUUAUAGUUGAAAUAAAUUUGUAAUAGAUCCUAGAUGAAGAUUAAAAGUUCAAGUUACUUUAGGGAUAACAGCGUUAUUUUUUUUGAGAGUACAUAUCGAAAAAAGAGUUUGCGACCUCGAUGUUG